AGUGCGAGCCCGAGGCUCUAGUCAACUCCGGCAGGCGGCUGGUACAGAGGUACGAGCAGGAGAAGAGCCGUCUCGCCGACGGGCUGCUCCACCCACGCUUGCACGGAUGGCCGGAUGACGUCGCGGUCACCGAACGGCCAAACCACCAACCCGACGAACGACCCCCACCCGACCGCCAGCCCACGGGUACCCCCACCGAGCCGGGGCGAGUGGAGGCAGCGCUGUGCAUUGUGGGUGGCGAGCGGCUGUUUUGGAUUCCCGCUCGCGGCCACCGUCGCUGCUGAAGCGGCGGCUCGCUGGCUGGUCCUCCUCUACAUCGACUCAGCCCGAACAAGGUCCCACCACCGAUGGGCGCUGCCGGUGCGUCGUCUCUGGUUGACGCUGCUCAACAAGGAGCAGCUUCACUCCACGUUCCUGCGCUACUCACUCACUCACCCAGUCCCUCACCCACUCACUCACGGACCCACUCACUCAGCCACUCACUCACCCACUCACUCACUCACCCACUCACUCACUCACCAGCUUCACUCCA